AAGGCGCUAUCGCCGCCAUCCUUCGCGUCGUCUCGCGUGUUGCCUCUUCGGCUACCUACCCUGUCGAGCUCGUAUCAUUCUCUUAUUGUUGGAAGGAGCUCACCAUCACUAGAGAAGGGAAAGCUCAGGCCGCAUCAUCCCUCUCCCUCUUGCAGAUGAGUUGUUGCUUGCUCCUCUCUCUCAUGGCAGUGCUGCUGCUCUUUUUGUCUCUAAUUUAUGACAAGCCGCUCUUCAUUUUUGUGUGUAUGUGUGUAUUCUGAUGUAGGGAUAUUGUUGCAGGUAAACUGUUCGAUGGUAUGCUUAUGAGGCAUGGAACUGGUCAUCCUCUUGGAUCUUCGGCCACAUCAGUGAGGUUCAGUUUAGAGCCAUUGAUCUAUCAUAAAGCAUGAUGAUAAAGCGGAUUAGUGUUAUUUGGACCAUGGCAUCACCGGUUGCGGGCUCUGACCUUGCCGCCCAUUGAUGGUCAGGUGUUCGAGGGUUUGUAUUUACUCCCAGCUUAUUACAAACAGAAUUGAUCUUCUGUAUUUGUGGAAACUACCAGGUUGCAGGAUUCAAUGCGUGUUGGGUGCCUAUACAAAGUGCAGAUUUCUGUUGGAUUAAUUAUUCUCUUCCAUAUUCUUGGUUCAGAACUAAAUUAGACAUAAACUGAAAUUAUUAUACUUGUCAUGGGCUCCUAACAUUUGACCAAUUGUCCGCCUACUUCCUUGUUCUCAUAUUUCGUUAUUUCAUGUGUAUCCCGGUGAGUAAUAUGGUCCCCUUCCCUAGAUACAUAUUUAUUACUUGAUUGGGUUGCAGUGAAAGAAUUAUUGUGUUGCUCUUAGACACUAAAGAUAUUAUU